GAACUGUGCGAACGUUAUUCGGAAUCACUGGGCUUACAGGGUGCGUAGGCGGCUCAACAAGUCAGGUGUGAAAGCCCCCGGCUCAACCGGGGAACUGCGCUUGAAACUGUUAGGCUCGAGUCAGCUAGAGGUACACGGAACUUCCAGUGGAGCGGUGAAAUGUGUUGAUAUUGGAAGGAACACCGGAGGCGAAAGCGGUGUACUGGGGCUGGUCUGACGCUGAGGCACGAAAGCCAGGGGAGCGAACGGGAUUAGAUACCCCGGUAGUCCUGGCCGUAAACGAUGAGUGCUGGACGGGAGGAGGUUCGCCUUCUCCGGUCGGAGCGAAAGCGGGAAGCACUCCGCCUGGGGAGUAUGGUCGCAAGGCUG
rnacentral:rRNA from 1 species